rnacentral:rRNA from 1 species
GGUUAAGCGACUAAGCGUACACGGUGGAUGCCCUGGCAGUCAGAGGCGAUGAAGGACGUGCUAAUCUGCGAUAAGCGUCGGUAAGGUGAUAUGAACCGUUAUAACCGGCGAUUUCCGAAUGGGGAAACCCAGUGUGAUUCGUCACACUAUCAUUAACUGAAUCCAUAGGUUAAUGAGGCGAACCGGGGGAACUGAAACAUCUAAGUACCCCGAGGAAAAGAAAUCAACCGAGAUUCCCCCAGUAGCGGCGAGCGAACGGGGAGCAGCCCAGAGCCUGAAUCAGUGUGUGUGUUAGUGGAAGCGUCUGGAAAGGCGCGCGAUACAGGGUGACAGCCCCGUACACAAAAAUGCACAUACUGUGAGCUCGAUGAGUAGGGCGGGACACGUGGUAUCCUGUCUGAAUAUGGGGGGACCAUCCUCCAAGGCUAAAUACUCCUGACUGACCGAUAGUGAACCAGUACCGUGAGGGAAAGGCGAAAAGAACCCCGGCGAGGGGAGUGAAAAAGAACCUGAAACCGUGUACGUACAAGCAGUGGGAGCACGCUUAGGCGUGUGACUGCGUACCUUUUGUAUAAUGGGUCAGCGACUUAUAUUCUGUAGCAAGGUUAACCGAAUAGGGGAGCCGAAGGGAAACCGAGUCUUAACUGGGCGUUAAGUUGCAGGGUAUAGACCCGAAACCCGGUGAUCUAGCCAUGGGCAGGUUGAAGGUUGGGUAACACUAACUGGAGGACCGAACCGACUAAUGUUGAAAAAUUAGCGGAUGACUUGUGGCUGGGGGUGAAAGGCCAAUCAAACCGGGAGAUAGCUGGUUCUCCCCGAAAGCUAUUUAGGUAGCGCCUCGUGAAUUCAUCUCCGGGGGUAGAGCACUGUUUCGGCAAGGGGGUCAUCCCGACUUACCAACCCGAUGCAAACUGCGAAUACCGGAGAAUGUUAUCACGGGAGACACACGGCGGGUGCUAACGUCCGUCGUGAAGAGGGAAACAACCCAGACCGCCAGCUAAGGUCCCAAAGUCAUGGUUAAGUGGGAAACGAUGUGGGAAGGCCCAGACAGCCAGGAUGUUGGCUUAGAAGCAGCCAUCAUUUAAAGAAAGCGUAAUAGCUCACUGGUCGAGUCGGCCUGCGCGGAAGAUGUAACGGGGCUAAACCAUGCACCGAAGCUGCGGCAGCGACGCUUAUGCGUUGUUGGGUAGGGGAGCGUUCUGUAAGCCUGCGAAGGUGUGCUGUGAGGCAUGCUGGAGGUAUCAGAAGUGCGAAUGCUGACAUAAGUAACGAUAAAGCGGGUGAAAAGCCCGCUCGCCGGAAGACCAAGGGUUCCUGUCCAACGUUAAUCGGGGCAGGGUGAGUCGACCCCUAAGGCGAGGCCGAAAGGCGUAGUCGAUGGGAAACAGGUUAAUAUUCCUGUACUUGGUGUUACUGCGAAGGGGGGACGGAGAAGGCUAUGUUGGCCGGGCGACGGUUGUCCCGGUUUAAGCGUGUAGGCUGGUUUUCCAGGCAAAUCCGGAAAAUCAAGGCUGAGGCGUGAUGACGAGGCACUACGGUGCUGAAGCAACAAAUGCCCUGCUUCCAGGAAAAGCCUCUAAGCAUCAGGUAACAUCAAAUCGUACCCCAAACCGACACAGGUGGUCAGGUAGAGAAUACCAAGGCGCUUGAGAGAACUCGGGUGAAGGAACUAGGCAAAAUGGUGCCGUAACUUCGGGAGAAGGCACGCUGAUAUGUAGGUGAAGUCCCUCGCGGAUGGAGCUGAAAUCAGUCGAAGAUACCAGCUGGCUGCAACUGUUUAUUAAAAACACAGCACUGUGCAAACACGAAAGUGGACGUAUACGGUGUGACGCCUGCCCGGUGCCGGAAGGUUAAUUGAUGGGGUUAGCGCAAGCGAAGCUCUUGAUCGAAGCCCCGGUAAACGGCGGCCGUAACUAUAACGGUCCUAAGGUAGCGAAAUUCCUUGUCGGGUAAGUUCCGACCUGCACGAAUGGCGUAAUGAUGGCCAGGCUGUCUCCACCCGAGACUCAGUGAAAUUGAACUCGCUGUGAAGAUGCAGUGUACCCGCGGCAAGACGGAAAGACCCCGUGAACCUUUACUAUAGCUUGACACUGAACAUUGAGCCUUGAUGUGUAGGAUAGGUGGGAGGCUUUGAAGUGUGGACGCCAGUCUGCAUGGAGCCGACCUUGAAAUACCACCCUUUAAUGUUUGAUGUUCUAACGUUGACCCGUAAUCCGGGUUGCGGACAGUGUCUGGUGGGUAGUUUGACUGGGGCGGUCUCCUCCUAAAGAGUAACGGAGGAGCACGAAGGUUGGCUAAUCCUGGUCGGACAUCAGGAGGUUAGUGCAAUGGCAUAAGCCAGCUUGACUGCGAGCGUGACGGCGCGAGCAGGUGCGAAAGCAGGUCAUAGUGAUCCGGUGGUUCUGAAUGGAAGGGCCAUCGCUCAACGGAUAAAAGGUACUCCGGGGAUAACAGGCUGAUACCGCCCAAGAGUUCAUAUCGACGGCGGUGUUUGGCACCUCGAUGUCGGCUCAUCACAUCCUGGGGCUGAAGUAGGUCCCAAGGGUAUGGCUGUUCGCCAUUUAAAGUGGUACGCGAGCUGGGUUUAGAACGUCGUGAGACAGUUCGGUCCCUAUCUGCCGUGGGCGCUGGAGAACUGAGGGGGGCUGCUCCUAGUACGAGAGGACCGGAGUGGACGCAUCACUGGUGUUCGGGUUGUCAUGCCAAUGGCACUGCCCGGUAGCUAAAUGCGGAAGAGAUAAGUGCUGAAAGCAUCUAAGCACGAAACUUGCCCCGAGAUGAGUUCUCCCUGAGACUUUAAGUCUCCUGAAGGAACGUUGAAGACGACGACGUUGAUAGGCCGGGUGUGUAAGCGCAGCGAUGCGUUGAGCUAACCGGUACUAAUGAACCGUGAGGCUUAACCUU